rnacentral:lncRNA from 1 species
UCACGUUAAUCUCCCGAACACCUAAACCCUAAAACCCAAAAAUAAUUUCAUUCAAAAAAAAACCCAAAAACCAGCAAAAUCUGAAAAUCUUUAGUCCCGCUCCGUGUAACGAACCGGGACUAAAGGGCCUGCCCCUGGGGCGCUACGUGGAGCACCUUUAGUCCCGGCAUGUAAGAGGGCCGGGACGAAAAGGUUAGGCCCUUAGUCCCGCCCCUUUAGUCCCGGUUGAUGAACCGGGACUAAAGCCCCUUACGGGCCGGGGCUAAAGGCCCUGUCCCCACUAGUGGUAGCGAUGCCCUUGUGCGGAUUUCCCAUUUGAAUCCCUUCCCAAGGAGAUGAUUUUUGGUCCUAGAUUGUGGUUCUGGUAUCUUUGUUCUUCCUCUCUCAAAUCCAAUCACAAUGGUUGAAGUAGUUAACCAGGGGAGGCAGCACCAUGCAUAUGACCCCUGGUACAAGCUAGUAUGGUCGUACCACACGUUGUAUUCUCUCUCGGAUGGUUCUCACGGCUAGUUUUUAUCCCACUCGCUGAAAACUUCGUAAGGUAGUUCAUUAUCUUGUCAAUUAACAUGAUUUUCACCCAUAAAUGUAUCUUUUCCAAUUAAUGAUCCAAAUAGCUUUCCCCGCGGGGUCCUCAUAAAGUUAGGUUGAUAAAGUUGUGUGAACGUGGUAAAACUCUAAAAACCAUAUUGCUAAGAUGCAAAACAAAAGGUGGAAAGUGAUGCAAAAUUUGGAAUUCUACAAUGGAAAAAAUCCCUAUCAAGUAUUUGGGGCUGAAAAUGCAAUUGCCUGUUAUUCAAGGGAGAAUGGCAACUGAUGUUGGAUGUAGUUAGAGAUGUUCUUUCGGCUAGGCAAAGAGGGUUCCUAGGGCAUUUGGGACGUUUGGUAUUGGUUUAGUCAAGAAUCUCAGCGAGUUCCACUUAGGAUGUAUGAUGUCGUGAUGGGUCAUAUUGUGAUGACAGAGCACAUGUGUCAUGAUCAUUUGACGAGGUAUCUGAAUGCUUCUCAUGCUUCAAAUACCGCUCAUUCCAAACAGGUCGAUGCAUGCAUGUUUGUGGGCUGAUGAAUAUCCAUGGUAGCGCAUGAAACAUCAUUUAUCGUCCAUAUAGAGUGCUUAGCUAGCUCUAUAUGCAAACUUCAUGCUUAUAUAGGAACAACAAACUAACGCUAACUAGUGCAGGCUCGGUGCAGGAUAGAUCACAUGUGCAAAAAAGAGGAAGUGUAUGCACCACAAAACUAGAUACUCAAUACUUGUACCUCAAAGAUUUAUAUAGCCAAGGUGUUGUAUGUGGCAGAGAAAAAGUGGUAGUAAACUACAGACCGUCGGGCUAUAAGAGUAUUUAAUAUCGUCGUCCUAUGUAAUGGGAAUGGAUUCUCUCUUGACCAUAUUAAUGUAUGUAUAGGAACAUGGUAGGGAGAUGUGUACAUGAACAUUACGCUAGUAAACUUAUCGUUGCACAAAACACAUGCUCACUUAAAUUGUAAAGAAAAUAGGCACUAAAUAUGGCCAUCCACCAUCAAUUCUUAGUGAACGUUUUUUAGGAAUUUCUGAAAUCUUUGAUAUGGUCUCACCUUAUAGAUGUUAAGCGGGGAUAGAGCAGCCCAUUGAUUGUUCGCUCAUGCUUGAUGAUGCACGGUGCAUAUAAUAUAUGGACCAACCGCCCGCGACUUUGUAUUAUACUAAGGAGAUUUUUGAAACAUCGAUUUAUUGUUUUUAUUUAAAUCUAUCGAAAAGGAUCGAGAUGGACCUAGAGGGGGGGUGAAUAGGUAUAAAUCCAAAUUUUAAUAAUUACUUAGCAAUUUUAGGCAAAAGUGCGGAAUAUGAGUGUAGGCCUAAUAAUUGCUACGACAAGG